rnacentral:lncRNA from 1 species
CCAUCCAGCUUUAUGAUUGAUCUUUCAAAAUAAGUGCCCCCCACAGCCCAAUUCUUCUUUCCAUUAUUGUUCCGAAUCAACCAUGUGUUUAUAAAUACAAAUACUUUUGUUUAUAUGUUUUGAAGCUUCGUGUAUCAGCCACCAUGACUAAUGCACCAGUAAUCCUGACCCUAGAUAGCGACAUGUACUCCAAUGAUCCACAGACACCUCUUCGUGCGCUGUGUUAUCUCUUAGACCCCUCUAUGGAUCCAAAACUUGCGUAUGUUCAGUUUCCUCAGAUCUUCUAUGGGAUCAACAAGAAUGAUAUUUAUGGUGGUGAAGCCAGGCAUACAUUUCAAAUUCAUCCCACGGGAAUGGAUGGACUGAAAGGCCCUAUAUAUCUAGGUACAGGAGGUUUUUUCCGGCGAAAAGUCUUCUUUGGGGACCCAUCAGAAACCUCUGAAUUGAAGCAGGAUCACCUAGGGAGCAAGUCAAUCAAGUCCAGGGUAAUUUUAGCAUCGGCGCAUCAUGUUGCAGACUGCAAUUUUGAGAGCCAGAGCCAGAGCCAGAGCCAAUGGGGCACCAAGGUAGGCUUGGUUACUACUAGGAUAUAGAAUUAAAGAUCCAGUUUUGCAAUGCUUGUUUAAUUAAAGGAAACAUUGGCGUUUUCUAUAAUGAGCAGAUGGGCUUUAGGUAUGGAUCACUGGUUGAGGACAUGUACACUAGCUAUAUGCUUCAAUGUGAGGGAUGGAAGUCCAUUUUUUGCCAUCCCAAAAGGCCUGCAUUUCUGGGAAAUUCACCCACCAACUUCCAUGACUUUCUGAAUCAAACCAGGCGAUGGUCAAUUGGCCUCCUUGAAGUGGCCUUCUGCAAAUAUAGCCCAAUCACAUAUGGCACCCGCACCAUAAACCUUCUCAGUGGCCUAUGUUUUGCUUACUAUUCCUUCUGGCCCAUUUGGUCAAUUCCCAUUACGAUCUAUGCCUUUCUCCCCCAGCUUGCUCUGCUUAACUAUGUCUCGAUCUUCCCAAAGGUAUGCCCUUUUACUAGAAUAAUAGUUAAUAAUAAUAAUAUUGAUAUUUACUGAAAAAAAUUGAAUGGUUUUGCAGAUGUCAGAUCCCUGGUUUUUUGUGUAUAUAUUCUGUUUUCUUGGAACCUAUGGGCAAGAUUAUCUCGAGUUAAUAUUAUCUGGGGGGACAACUCAAAGGUGGUGGAACAAUCAGAGAGUAUGGAUGAUGAGGGGGCUCUCGAGUUUCUCAAUUGGGUCGGUUGAAUACAUCCUCAAGUCCAUUGGCAUUUCCACAUUCGGAUUCAAUGUGACAAGCAAGGCGGUGGAAGAGGAACAAAGCAAGCGAUACAAGAAAGGGAUGUUUGAGUUUGGAGUCGCAUCACCCUUGUUCUUGCCACUAACAACAGCAGCAAUAAUCAACUUGGUCUCAUUCCUAUGGGGCAUUGCACAAAUCUUCAGGCAAGGAAGAAUUGAAGAUCUACUUCUGCAGAUUUUGUUAGUUGGUUUUGCAAUGGUGAACUGUUGGCCCAUAUAUGAAGCCAUGGUGUUGAGGGCUGAUGAAGCAAAGAUGCCAGUGAAGAUCACAUUGAUCUCAAUUGUCCUAGCAUGGGCUCUUUACUUGGCAUCUUCCAUAGCAUUUUAAGAUAUGGUGACUCUAAAUUUUCCCUCAGAUGUUGCUUUAAUCAUUUCCUAGGCACCAGAACGUAUGCUUAAAGAUCUUGUUUUAAGACCAAUAAUAGCUCGGUAAUUCAAAUAUCAAAACGAAAGUCAUUUAAUAAAUGAAGCUUUCUGUCAUAUCUGGAGUCAACAAUUGACUGAAGUCUCUAUUCUACAGUUACAAAUUAUUCUACAACAUUUGAAAUUAGGAGAAAGAAUUAGUCAUAUACAACACUAUUUAGAGGUUAAUAAUCAAAAUCAGUCUUGAAUUAUGAUGCAGCUGAUGUACGACAACAUGAGAUGUUAGAGUGGAGACUGUGGUUAAGAGUGGGAGAAUUAUCAAUAGCGAACAGGAAUUGGAAGCUUUCAGCAGAUGGACUGAUGGAUUUACAUCUCAGAAUCAUCCUGCAGUGAUUCAGGUUUAUUAUAUUACUGGAACUUUAGUUAAAAAAAUAUAUAUAUGGGUAAUCCAUAUCGUGGCAAUAGAUCAUUUAACUAAAGAAAAAAGGAGGCCUCUAAUGGAGGCAAAAGAUUUUAAUUUAGUACUAAUAUGAUGGGGCACGCAUUGAGAACAGGUUUUGUUAAGAGUGUGGCAAAGAUGAGGAUGUCACAGGCCGUACAAUGCCCAACCUUGUUUAUGUAUCCAGAGGGAAAUGCAUCAAGUUACCCCACAAUUUCAAGGCUGGUGCUCUUGAUGUUCUGGUAAGUUGACUAAUGGCCAUCCAGCUUUAUGAUUGAUCUUUCAAAAUAAGUGCCUGCAACACCACCCCCUGUCCCCCCAACCCAAUUCUUCUUUCCAUUAUUGUUCCGAAUCAACCAUGUGUUUAUAAAUACAAAUACUUUUGUUUGUAUGUUUUGAAGCUUCGUAUAUCAGCCACCAUGACUAAUGAACCAGUGAUCCUGACCCUAGAUAGCGACAUGUAUUCCAAUGAUCCACAGACACCUCUUCGUGCGCUGUGUUAUCUCUUAGACCCAUCUAUGGAUCCGAAACUUGCGUUAUGUUCAGUUUCCUCAGAUCUUCUACGGGAUCAACAAGAAUGAUAUUUAUGGUGGUGAAGCCAGGCAUGUAUUUCAAAUUCAUCCCGCGGGAAUGGAUGGCCUGAAACCUCUGAACUGAACCAG